AUGGGUCAGCGACUUAUAUUCUGUAGCAAGGUUAACCGAAUAGGGGAGCCGAAGGGAAACCGAGUCUUAACUGGGCGUUAAGUUGCAGGGUAUAGACCCGAAACCCGGUGAUCUAGCCAUGGGCAGGUUGAAGGUUGGGUAACACUAACUGGAGGACCGAACCGACUAAUGUUGAAAAAUUAGCGGAUGACUUGUGGCUGGGGGUGAAAGGCCAAUCAAACCGGGAGAUAGCUGGUUCUCCCCG
rnacentral:rRNA from 1 species